AUUGAGCUCAAAAGAGCCCCAGCCUCAGUGAGCUGCUGGGAGCCAACGCAGCAAGACCCUGCUCCGCUCCACAGGCCCUGCCAGGGCUGUGUGCAGCCAUGGAUGGGACACCGCCGGGCAGCACGUAACCUCAGCAUCUCAACCCUGUGGCUGCAAGGAGCUUUUUGAAGCAGCACGCUGAAAGUCAGACAUCUGUCAGAUUAAGCAGGCUCUCUUACCAGGGAGCUGUGUGCUCCAAGUCCAUCAAGUCUGCUAACGUUAAAAACACGCAAACAAAAAAACCCAGCAAGCACAUGGAAGUACUGAUCUAUCCAGAGAAGCGAGGAUGUUCUGAAGACACAUACACAGUCUACAGUACAGUCUCACUCAACAAGCAGAAAUGGAGAGAGAACACAAAAAAGAAACCCAGCCAAAAUGCAUGAAGAAAUCAGAAUUCACGGCAGCAUCAAGAUAGCUCUACAAAAAGAAGCAGCUGCACAACGCUUACAAUAGAAACGUCAGUGCUUAAAAAACAAGCUGUUUUUUCAGGCAUUAUGGAAGAAAUUAUGACUAUGUGCUGAAUAACAUCCUGACUCGUGCAAAUGUUUAUACAGGUGCUUAAAUUUAAGCAUAUGAGUAGUCCCAUUGACUUUAAGCGAAAUUAUUUCAACAGGAUGAUAAAAUUUAAAGGCAGGCAGAGUGAUUAGAUCAUCUGGUCUGACUUCAAACACAGUACACUAAUUUUCCCAUUCCUCUUGCACCAAACUCAAAAACUUGCCUGCUUGCAACAGAACAUAUGGAUAUAGAGCGUUCAGGAUAAAAGCUUAAGGAACAGCUCACGAUGUUCACAUGCAAAUGGAGACUGCCUACAGUGACAACCACUUGAGUUGACACCAGUUCCCUAGGUCAAAUGAGAGUUAGACAGUGCACAGGCUUUGUACCAGCCUUCUGCACAAGGGUGAAGGUCAAUGAAGGACUGCUUCUCCCUGAGGGGAUAUUUCUGUUCCCCAUCAGAAAAAGCCACUAACUUUAGCUACCUAUGCUUUUGGUGGACUUGAGGAGUAUCUCUGCAUAAGCAAGAAUGAAUGAAAAAGCUGUUUUACCAGACAAUCCUUAUGCCAGCGUGCAGAUAUCUUUGUCUUACCUUCUCCCAUUUACCACACAGCCACAUGCAAAUAUUCUUACAAGAUAACGAGUGACUGCUCAGAAGCAGACAAGACACAGCAGCAGUCACAUGGAGACAAAGCAAAAGGAAAUUACCAAAUUUCUUAUUAUCAGAAACUUAAACACAUAUACAGUUAAAAAGACAACUUAAUAUUGGAAGCAAAGAUGAGAAAAAGCGGGAAACUUGUCCUGAUACUACCUUUACAAGCCUCAGCAAGGAGUGGAUUUAUAUUCCAUGUACAUGGAACAGAUCAACAGUGUCGCAAAGGAUACAACAGUCGCAACAAAAAAACAAUGGGACAAGGAACGAGAAGACUGCCUUGCAUACACCUUGCCCACACAUAAUACUGUUUCCAGGAUUCAAAGAUCCUUGGACUACAAAGAUCUCCAACGCUGCAGCAGAACGGAGAAGGUGACACGCAGCCUCCGGGGCUACAGCGAAAACUCAGCCAGGAAUGGGAAAGCCCAUGCUUCAUGCAACUAAGUGCUUAAAAAAGCUUCAGUUUUUAUACAUCCCAAGUGAUCGUAUUCACAGAAACCUAGAACAAAACAGAACUCCGCUAUUCGACAUAGUAUUGCCAAAAGUUGUUCUGGGCAAAAUUUAAUCAAAA
rnacentral:lncRNA from 1 species